GACUUAAAUCCGUCGACUUUAGAAAUCGUGAGG
rnacentral:tRNA from 26 species